rnacentral:rRNA from 1 species
UAGCGGAGGGGACUAGCGUUGUUCGGAUACUGGGCGUAAAGCGCACGUAGGCGGAUUUGUAAGUCAGGGGUGAAAUCCCGGGGCUCAACCUCGGAACUGCCUUUGAUACUGCAAAUCUCGAGUCCGGAAGAGGUGAGUGGAAUUCCUAGUGUAGAGGUGAAAUUCGUAGAUAUUAGGAAGAACACCAGUGGCGAAGGCGGCUCACUGGUCCGGUACUGACGCUGAGGUGCGAAAGCGUGGGGAGCAAACAGG